GCGCCUGUAGCUCAACGGACAGAGCAGUUCCCUUCUAAGGAAAAGGUUGCAGGUUCGAUUCCUGCCAGGCGCGCAA
rnacentral:tRNA from 1 species